AUUGAACGCUGGCGGCAGGCUUAACACAUGCAAGUCGAGCGGGGUGAUGGUGCUUGCACUAUCACUUAGCGGCGGACGGGUGAGUAAUGCUUAGGAAUCUGCCUAUUAGUGGGGGACAACAUCUCGAAAGGGAUGCUAAUACCGCAUACGUCCUACGGGAGAAAGCAGGGGAUCACUUGUGACCUUGCGCUAAUAGAUGAGCCUAAGUCGGAUUAGCUAGUUGGUGGGGUAAAGGCCUACCAAGGCGACGAUCUGUAGCGGGUCUGAGAGGAUGAUCCGCCACACUGGGACUGAAACACGGCCCAGACUCCUACGGGAGGCAGCAGUGGAGAAUAUUGGACAAUGGGGGGAACCCUGAUCCAGCCAUGCCGCGUGUGUGAAGAAGGCCUUAUGGUUGUAAAGCACUUUAAGCGAGGAGGAGGCUUACCUAGUUAAUACCUGGGAUAAGUGGACGUUACUCGCAGAAUAAGCACCGGCUAACUCUGUGCCAGCCGCCGCAGUAACAC
rnacentral:rRNA from 1 species